rnacentral:rRNA from 1 species
UACGUAGGGUGCGAGCGUUAAUCGGAAUUACUGGGCGUAAAGCGUGCGCAGGCGGUUUUGUAAGCCAGAUGUGAAAUCCCCGGGCUUAACCUGGGAAUGGCAUUUGGGACUGCAAGGCUGGAGUGUGGCAGAGGAGACUGGAAUUCCUGGUGUAGCAGUGAAAUGCGUAGAGUAUCAGGAGGAAUACCGAUGGCGAGGCAGGUCUCUGGGCUGACACUGACGCUCAUGCACGAAAGCGUGGGGAGCAAACAGG